CCUGGUUCGAUCUCUGGGUUGGAAAGAUGCCCUGGAGGAGGGACGGGCUACCCACUCCAGUAUUCUGGCCUGGAGAAUUGCAUGGACUGGGUAGUCCAUGGGGUCCUUGUCAGGCUCCAAGGCCAUCUGCUCCAAGCUCAUCUUCCAGCUCGUCUGUCUGGGCCACAAGACUUUGUGUUAGACAGCAGGCUGAUUUGGAAACUGAGUCGUAGCGGAUGAGUUGGUGUCAACUUCAAAGUUCAGUGGUGUUUAAUUAAAGCCAUUCAGAGACUAAACCCACUCUCAGGAAAUUAUUCUGAUCGAAUAAUUAAAGAGAAUAAAGGUUAGAUUUGUGUUUCUGGCUAAGUCUGUGUUACAUUCAGCAUCUCCAAAGCAUGAAUUCCAUUAACCUUUCAUGAACCAACAUUAAAUUGCUUUUAAUUAGUUGUCAUUCUAGUUAGAGUCACACAGCAGAGCCGUUGUUUAUACUUGGGGUGUCUGUUCCCUCUCCUCUGGAAUUAUGUGCUUGAAUAAACGGCCAUUCGGAAAAUUGGUUCAUAACUUUGUGUGUCUGCUCAUCCCUUCCUUAGUUGGGUCCUGUUUACUGAGCAUCAGAAGAAAUUGCACCAGGGGAAGUAGGCUGCCGGAAGGCUGGGAUAAGUAAUUGCAGCUGGAGCUUGAACUGAGGUGUAUAGUUUGCAAAGACAUGUCCUGUGACCUUGGGACAGAAAGUGAAGGGCUAGGUAAAGUCGUAAGCUUGGGCAGGGGCAGACCUCAGGCGGCCGAGGUGAGGCCUGGUCUUCCCAGGAGGGCCUUUUAGUUUGGGAGAGCGAGUCCUGCCAUUUGUCAUUCGGUGACCACACUCUCCGAGCAUUUAUGCUCUGGGUGUGGGGGCUUCGUUCCUGCUGAGUGAUGGUCUGAGUCCUCAUCCGGGCCUGUCUGCAGGCUCAGUGUCCUGGAGGAGGCGGCACGCCCAGGCUCCGUUCCCGUGACUGCAGGAGCAGGGAGUGAGACAAGCUCUGUGUGCCUGCUCCGGGCUUCCGGUACCUGUCACCCAGCAUAUCUUUUCUGUUCAUUUUCCUGCAUGACUGUGGAUGAGAGGUGUUAUGACCGAGGAUCUGUAAGCCGGGAUUCCUCCAGGUGGAUCACUCUAGGCCCCCAGCACUCAGGAGGCGGGGCGGGGAGGUCUGCUUCCUUUAGCCUCACCUCUGGACGGAGGUCAGAAAUGCUGACUGUACCCUUAUUUGAAUGUCUUGGGAGUGGGAGUGUUGGGGGGUGGGUACUUGCUGGUCUUUCCUGAGCUCGUACUGUGUUCUGGGCUUAGAAGAAGCUCACUGUGGUCUGGGAUCUGGACCAGAGGCCGUUAAAAACAGAAGGGAUAGCCCGACUCUCCUUGUGAAAACGAUCGUGCCUCAGACCCAGGAGGGCUCAGGCUUGGGAUUUCCUAGUGGUGCCAGGCAACCUGUUUACUUCUGAGCUGGGGCUUGAAGUCUUGUUGGCUCUUGUCUUUCCUGGAGUUGGCCCGGCUCCCUGGGCUGUCUCUGACUCCCCGUGAGUUUUCUGGCAUUCCCUCAGUGGGCCAUCAGGUGCCCUGUUGUCAUUUCCUGCAGGGCUUUUCUAUGAGCAGAUCUGGGGUUACCUGAGGGUUGGCGCCCUGUCUUCCUAGCAGACUGGGGACCUGGCCUGCGUUCACCAUCAGGAAGCCUUAUGGCACACACCAUUCAUUCUGGAAUCACUGCGUGCUGGGCAGUAGGGGCCAGACAGAGGUGAUGCUGUCGCUGGUCCCCGAGCUCAGAGAAGGACGGGCCCAGCCAAAGUGCAACAGAAGCGUCCAGGUCAGGGCUGGGGCCCAGGAAUGAGGAGGAGCGGCGGGGGUGCCCUCAGGGGGCACUGUGUGAAUCGCACAGGGAUGCGUUGGGGUCUCCUGCUGCGUGCAGCGGGGAGGGGCGUUUGGCCCGAGGGAAGAGCGCCUGCUGGAGUGUGAGAGGAGGUGGGAGACGCGGGAGAGGGCUGGGCCCCGUGGGUGAGCACGCGGGGCGUGGGGGAAUGGCCACAGAGGCCAGUGUUCUGCUGCUGCUUUUGAAUCCAUGGUGUUGAUGUGGAGGGCACAUUGGAGGGGGAAAAGACCUGCGGCAUUGGACUAGUUGAGGGUACUGUGAGAGUUCGGUGGAGAGAUGGUGGGGGCCUGGGGACCAGCGGCAGUGGGCGUGGGGAGAGAGGCGUGAAGCCCAGGGACCCUAAGCAGGCAACAGUGAGUGCACCUCAAUUAGAGGUGAGGGUGAGGCAGGCUGCUGGGUGCUCCCAGGACGACUCAGCCUGGCUCCUGGGUGUGUGGAGGUGCAGGACUGGGGGUCAGCAGGGCAGUGCACGUGUUGUUGGAAAAAAUGGAUCGCCUGUGAGCCCUCUAGGCAAGGAAUUUGAGUCUGCAGUGGAGUCUGGAGAUAAGCCCGGGGUUUGGACUAGAGGUAGGAAUGUGGGUCUAGGGCCAGUGGAAGCUGGGUGUCUGCUACAUAGUUAGGGAGUGUAUGAAGGUGAGGAAAUAGAAUGGGGAAAAUACCAGUAUUCAGGGGCGGUGGAGAAGACAAGAGCAUGUGAUGGCCCCAGGGUCUAAGAUCAGAAGGAAUGCAGACGUCAUGUUGCGUGAAAGAAGCUGGACACGAAAGAGAGCAUACUCCGUGAUGUGACUGCAUUUAGAUGAAAAUCAAAGCUGGGCAGAACCACUCGGUGGUGACAGAGGUCAGAACAGAGCUGACACGUUCUCCUGUCAGUACUAAUGACGGGAGGAGGCACCACAGGGCAGGCUUGUGUCCCUAGAACAUGGCAGCUCUUCCUCUGGGCGGGUGUGUACAUGUGUAGGCAGAUGAACGCAGAUGCCCUGAGAUUUCUGCACUUUGCUGUAAGUUAUUCCUGAAAAUAAAAUCUUUAAAAACUUAGGAAGAUGGAAGUGUAGGGGAGGAAAAGUAGUUUACCUUCCAGUCUUCAGAGUCCAUGGCUGAGACCUCUGUAUUAAAAGAGAGAUUAAUAAGAGACAAACAGAAGUAACUGUACGCUGCUGCUGCUGCUGCUAAGUCGCAUCAGUCAUGUCUGACUCUGUGCGACCCCAUAGACGGCAGCCUACCAGGCUCCGCCGUCCCUGGGAUUCUCCAGGCAAGAACACUGGAGUGGGCUGCCAUUGCCUUCUCUGUACUAUACGCUGAUAAGAAUUAAAAGAAAAAUCCCCCCCCCCCCAAUAAGGAGCAUGCCUGAUUUAAAGUUUUUGCUUAUAUUAGGUGUCAUGGCACAUCCAGAAUAAAGUUGGAUUGUGGCUGCACAUCCAGUUUCAUAAACCCGUAUGUGUAUCUUAUUUCAAGUAAUAGAUACCUUUUACUAGAAGAAAAAAAAUUUUUAAUCUGUCUUGAAAAUAAAAAAGAAAGUUUAUGAACACGUAGACCUCACGUGUACAUGGGAGAUACACAGAAAAACGAGCAGCUGCCCGAGGGGGCUUAGAAUUCAGGCUUCAACACCGUCUUAGUGGGGAAGACGGUGGUGGUCGGCGGGGAGGAUAGACCUAGACCUAGGGGAGAGUGAUUUUUAGGGAUGAUGAGAGGCCCUUAGAACGGUGAUUGGGAAGUGUGAUGGUCUGUAACAAGUGUGUCUGGGUGUGGGGUGGGCUCAGCCUCCUCUGUAAUGAGAGUCAAUCUCCCCUGGUUGAUGAAGCUUCUGGGAAGGAUCUGUAACAACUGAGCUCCUUUUGGAGCAUCUGUCUUUAGGCAGAUGGGAGCGUUCAGAGACAGCCUUCUCAUUGGAUUGGCUGUUUUUCAGAUGCCUACAGCUCAGAACAAUCAACCUCCCAAAGUGGCAAGUUUGGGGCUGGCAUAUUCUGGUGCCCUUCAGAAGGAAGAUGGGAGGAAGGAAGGAAGGGGAAAUAAGGAAAGAGGACAGGUGGACAGAGGAAAGAAGAAAAGAAACCUGGAGUCUGUGGUGCCUGGCGGGAGAGGUUUGAGUUUUCAAGAAAGAGGAUGACGACCAGUGUCACUCACACCCAGAGGUCGAGCCUGGAGCCGGCUCCGAAGAGUGACCUGGAGGCUGCCCCCCGCAUCCUCCCAUGGUCCCAGCUCUGCUGAAGGAGUGGCAGAGGACAAACCCUAACCCGGAGUGAGAAGAGGGAGGCGCGAAGACCCUCGGAUGGAGGGCGUGCCCGAGAGCAUGUGACCCGUGCUUUCGUCAUAGCUCCUAGCACUGCAGAUGGCCACUCUGUGGUUCCCAGAGUGCCCUCCCAGGCAGAUCCCUUCGUUUAAAUCUGACCAUAUUUGAUCAAAAAAGUUAUCAACUACUGUCAUUUAAAAGCACUUCCUUCUGUUUCAGUGUGAGGGUUUUCCAUAGAAACCACUUGAGCCUGGGCGGCUGUGAAUGGCAGCUUUAUUAGUGGAGCCAUCUGCAGGCUCUCCUAGCUGUCCACACAAUCUGUCACCCUGCUGAUCGCUUCCCGUGCAAACCCUGUUUAUCGUGAUGGAGCCCCAGCCUGUCGCCCAUGACCCGGAGGAGACACCUUCCCUGCGCCCUGAGAGACUGAAAGUCUGCAGAAGGAAGAGGCUCUGCCCUGCCCGGACAUCACUUACACAGUUGUGUUAACUGAGAAAGUUCUAUGGCUGACGCGGUAAGAGAAUGCUGGCUUCUGGUUUCCCUGCUUCCACCAGGUCACCAAGUGAGCCCAGCCCAGUGUUGGCUGAAUGGGCAUUACUGUGGAGGGGUGGGCUGGAGUACCCCUUGACCUUGCCUACGGCGCACUCUGGCUUGGUGGCUAUGGGAACAUCAGGAUGAAACGGAUGACCAGGUAUGUGGGCUUUUGCUUUUUAUUAUGGUUACUUUUCCUCCCUAAGUCCCCUUCUAGCACUUGUCUCCAGCUCGCUUAGUGAGAUCUGGUGAAAGUGCACAUGCGUCAUCCCACUGACACACACCGGUGGUUAUGCAUAUUCACCUCUGUCCCUGGGUGACUCCCUAGGGAAAUUUGCUUUCAGGACUGCGUGUUGACAUUGCUGAGGGAGAGGAGAGGCAGGAUCAAGGCCCUGUGGCGUAGCCUGUGCCGGAGAUUAAGGGAAGAAUCACUUGACCAGUGAAGAAAGAAGCUGCUCUGCUGCUUUUUCAGUGAAACAGAAAUUGCUCAGAGGUUGGAAAAUAAGGGAGCAGCGUCUCCACACAAAUAGGCUUAAAACGGAACCUCAGGGACUGACUCAGGAGCCAAGGCAGGCGGGAAGUGCAGAGAGGUGCUGACGGGAGGUGCUGCGGGGUGGGCCGGAGGCUUGGCCCCCACUCCACUUGUAGGGCUGGCACGAGGGGUCUUGUGCCAGGGAGGGGUCCCUGUCAUCUGUGAUUGUUCAGAGCCGAGUCGACUGUUCCAAAGCCUAACCACUUUCUGUGAUUUUUCGAUAUAGUGGUCUCAAAUCCUUCCUACCAGAAGCUUAGCCCAUUUCAUUCUGUUACUAAUAAUCACUAUAUCACUAUUCUGCAGUAAGCAUCUCCUACAGUGCCCGGCCGCAGAGCUACCCCAGGGACUCUGGAGGCAGGAGGACAAACCCUAACCCUGAGUGAGAAGAGGGAGAACCAAACCUUGGUUCAGUCAGUUGGUGCUGUUAGGGUCCUAUUAGGGUGACAGUUUCAUCUGUAAGUUUACUCAUCUGUAAAAUGGUGACGGAAUAUAGGAUGGUUGGAGGAACUGGUGGAAAGCUCUAACAUGUUGCAAGUGUCAGCUCUUCUGGUUCAGUAACAUUUAGUUCUAUGUGGAUGUGUCGUCAUCAAUGAGCACUCGGGUUUUUGUUGCUACAUUUUUUGUAUUUUUGUCCUCUGAGAUAUAGAAGUGGUAUCUUUUUCUUCCAGAUUUCUGGAUUGGUAAAAUUAAAAAUCACACGUGUUCAGUUUGGUAAGUUAUGGUCUCCUGAGGAUGUCACCCACGGAUUCAGAAAUGAAACACACUGACAAGUCUAUAGGAACCAAACUUUCUUCUUCCAUUUGGGAUUAUUUCUCUUUUAGUUCCUUUGCCUUUUUUGUAUCAGAGGUUGUUGUAGGAAUCCCUUAAUGAGGGUGGCGUAGAAAUCCAGGUUUCCUCUGGAAAAGGUUAUACACAAAAGGUAUAAGAUGACUGUAGUCCCUGAGAGCAGCAGUUGCCCUUUAGAAAGGAUUGCAUCUACUUUUCAGGGAAAAUGCCUGGAAACUUUUUCUAAGGUCCUUGGAGAUGCCAGUCCUGGGCAUCCUGGACGAAGCCAGCUUCUUCAGCAGAGCCUGUUUCUGUGAUGGUGACAAAGGUGUAGCAUCCUCCCCUGGACUGAGGACUGAGAUGAGAUAGGGCCACUGAUGUUGCCCCGUCUCCUUUCCAAAAUCUGUGAAUCUUCACCCUCAUCCUUUCCUUCUUCCUCCCUGUUUCUAAAGAAUGUCUUUCUCCUAGUGUAAGUGGAAGAGGCUCCAGCUUCGAAGUGACAGCGCAUGAUGUCCUGGCGUGAGGUCAUCUGGGUGAGUGAACAUGGGCCUGUUCUGAACCCAGCCCGCCCCGUGCGCUGUAUGAGGCUGGGGCGUCCGGGGGCUCUGGCUGCACAGACUCCUCGAGCAGUAGCUCUGCUCCGUUCACGGCCAGCAUACCUGCUCUUCAGCCUGUCUCCUUUGUCCUAGAAACAUGUCCUGUCCUAAGCUGCCUUUUAGUUCCCCUGUAAGCUGGAAACAUAGUUCCUUCUAGAAUUUACACGACCACACCAGUAUGUCCAAGAUCCGAUUCACCACUGUUUCCCCAUAAACAGGUUCCUGACUUGGAGCUCCUUUUUUAUUCAGAAAAAUCACAUUGUUGAGCGCGUCUGUUCUGCUGCCCGCCAGCCACUGUGUCUCAGAGUUGGCGGAGAGGAAUUGCUGGGCCCAGGACGCCUCUCACAGGUCAGUGUGUGUGAGUGGCUGUGAAGAUACAUUCAUAGUCACCACGGAUGAAUAAGGUGAUGAUGAAAACCCCAUCAUUUCCAUGACUGUAAAACUGAGAAAUGUAUGGACUACUUAAUUCCUCAUAAAGAAAAACGUGCAGCAGCUAAUUUAUGGUUGUGGUGUGAAGAGGAUGUGUCACUAAGCAACCCAGGGGAGAUAGAGAAAGCGGGAUGCUGAGUUCAAGGGCUUCCCGCAGGUGAACACCGGGGAGGCAGGUAGCUAGGAUCACCCAGUGUAAACAUCUGAGUGAGUGCAGACAUGAAAUAAAUUAAAACGAAGCUACUGCCUAUUAAAUGGAAGCAUAAAUCAUAAGUAAUUUCCUCUAGCUUUAUGAGAUGGAGUCUGUCACUACCAGAAUGGUUGUAUCCACAGCGGCAGUGGUCAACUGAUAAACAUAAACUGAUAAACAGUCCUUCUGAACUGUCUGUCGUGGCUCCUGAUAACUGGAUGAAACCGGCAGCAUAGAGGAAGAAAGACUCAAGACACAUUUAGAGACAAAUGAAACAUCUUGAUUAUUUUAUUUAAUCUUCAAAUUUUUCUGUCAUAAGACAGGAAUGCAUGAUAGAAAUGGCUCAACAUCUUCACAUAAAACACUUGGAUUCAUUUUCAUUCACAAGUUUUUCUAAAAACAUCUAUAAUUUCAUAAUCCCACCCACUUCCAACCAUAAUCACAGAUUUAAUUGACUGUUAAACAGUAGUUGCCAGCAAUAGAGAGCUGGAACGCUUUCUGCGUAUUAGUAGUGUCUUUUUGAAACUACCACCCAAGAUAUCACAAAUAUCACGACUAUAAAUUUCAUUGUACACAGCAACCCCAAAGGUGACUGAUAUCCCCAGAUACACUCCCUGCUUGUCAUGGAGAGCAGUAUCCCCCACGUACUUUACAAAAUGCUUUUUUCUUCUUCUAGAAUUACUUGUUCAUCUCCUAUUAUUUUGCAGGGUCUAGCACAUGCUGACCUGAUGAUUCAAUCACCAUAGCUAAUAGGCAAAAAACACAUGCCUGAUACUGCUGCUGCCCUCUGAUAAUUAUGUAUAAACAUACUGAAAAAUGAUGGGUUGCUUGAAGUCUCUCUUCUUUUGAAGAGAACUGCUUUGAGGUUUUUUUUUUUUCUGAACAGUUGUAAACAAAAGGAAA